AGGGAGCCCCGGCUGGUGGACGCCGAGCUUGUGGCUCCACGGCCGCUUCAUCCUCGAGGUGCAGCCGAACCUCCGCGUGGCGCCCGGAGUCCUGCGAGCCGCCUGCGCACCGGCCGAGUCCCGGUUCUCUGCGUUGGCCGCCGUCCUCACCGUCCCCUUCCCCCGACCCUCUCGCAGCCUCCCCUUCCUUUCCCCCUCGGAAAAUGGUUCCUGCUGCCGGGCGAGAUGUGUACAUCUCAUGACUGAGAGGAAGAAACUAGUCAUGGGUCAGAGGCCAAGAUACUUCCCUGGGAAAUGCUGCUGAUGCUGCUUGACGAAGUCAAACAAUGAGUGUUUGGUUUAAGAAAGAUUUUCAUAUUUAAAAGAUUUUCAUCUUGGAAAUACUGUCAAGUGAAAAUUAGAGUCUUUUGGGAAACAUUUUCCUCCUGAUAAAUUAUACUUGUGAUGGGCGACAUGGCAAACAACUCGGUUGCCUAUGGUGGAGUGAAAAACUCCUUGAAGGAGGCCAAUCAUGACGGAGACUUUGGAAUUACCCUCGCGGAGCUGCGCGCUCUCAUGGAGCUCAGGUCGACGGACGCGUUGCGAAAAAUACAGGAAAGCUACGGCGACGUCUAUGGAAUCUGCACCAGGUUAAAAACAUCUCCCGUGGAAGGUUUAAGUGGAAACCCAGCAGAUAUAGAAAGAAGAGAAGCAGUAUUUGGAAAGAAUUUUAUACCUCCUAAAAAGCCAAAAACCUUUCUUCAGUUAGUAUGGGAAGCAUUACAAGAUGUCACUUUAAUUAUAUUAGAAAUUGCAGCCAUAGUAUCAUUGGGCCUUUCUUUUUACCAACCUCCAGAAGGGGAUAAUGCACUUUGUGGAGAAGUCUCUGUCGGGGAGGAAGAAGGUGAAGGUGAAACUGGUUGGAUUGAAGGUGCUGCGAUCCUGCUGUCGGUGGUGUGCGUGGUCUUGGUCACCGCCUUCAAUGACUGGAGUAAGGAGAAGCAGUUCCGAGGCUUGCAGAGUCGAAUUGAGCAGGAGCAGAAGUUCACGGUCAUCAGGGGCGGGCAGGUCAUUCAGAUCCCUGUGGCCGACAUUACUGUUGGCGAUAUCGCUCAGGUGAAGUACGGUGAUCUUCUCCCGGCGGAUGGAAUCCUCAUUCAAGGCAAUGAUCUUAAAAUUGAUGAGAGCUCGUUGACUGGGGAAUCCGAUCAUGUUAAGAAGUCUUUAGAUAAGGACCCCUUACUCUUAUCAGGUACUCAUGUAAUGGAAGGCUCUGGAAGAAUGGUAGUUACUGCAGUGGGUAUAAAUUCUCAAACUGGAAUCAUCUUUACCUUACUUGGAGCUGGAGGUGAAGAGGAAGAGAAGAAAGAUGAGAAGAAAAAGGAAAAGAAAAAUAAGAAACAAGAUGGAGCUAUUGAGAAUCGCAACAAAGCAAAAGCCCAGGAUGGUGCAGCCAUGGAAAUGCAGCCUUUGAAGAGUGAAGAAGGUGGAGAUGGUGAUGAAAAAGACAAAAAGAAAGCAAACUUGCCAAAAAAGGAGAAAUCUGUUUUACAGGGGAAACUGACAAAGCUGGCUGUUCAGAUUGGCAAAGCAGGUCUGUUGAUGUCUGCCAUCACAGUUAUCAUUCUCGUACUGUAUUUUGUCAUUGAUACAUUCUGGGUUCAGAAGAGACCGUGGCUUGCUGAGUGCACACCCAUCUACAUACAAUAUUUUGUCAAGUUCUUCAUUAUUGGAGUUACGGUUUUAGUGGUAGCGGUGCCAGAGGGUCUCCCCCUUGCCGUCACCAUCUCACUGGCGUACUCGGUCAAGAAAAUGAUGAAAGAUAAUAAUUUAGUAAGGCAUCUGGAUGCUUGUGAAACCAUGGGAAAUGCUACAGCUAUUUGUUCAGAUAAAACAGGAACAUUGACAAUGAACAGGAUGACAGUUGUUCAAGCCUACAUAAAUGAAAAACAUUAUAAAAAGAUUCCUGAACCAGAAGCUAUUCCACCAAAUAUUUUAUCCUAUCUCGUAACAGGAAUUUCUGUGAAUUGUGCUUAUACAUCAAAAAUAUUGCCACCGGAGAAAGAGGGUGGAUUACCUCGUCAUGUUGGUAAUAAAACUGAAUGUGCCUUGUUGGGACUUCUUUUGGAUUUAAAACGGGAUUAUCAAGAUGUUAGAAAUGAAAUACCAGAAGAAGCACUGUACAAAGUCUACACCUUCAAUUCUGUUAGGAAGUCCAUGAGCACUGUCCUGAAAAAUUCAGAUGGAAGUUACCGAAUAUUCAGCAAGGGUGCCUCUGAGAUAAUUCUGAAAAAGUGUUUCAAAAUCUUGAGUGCUAAUGGUGAGGCAAAAGUAUUCAGACCAAGGGACCGAGAUGAUAUUGUAAAAACUGUGAUUGAACCGAUGGCAUCAGAAGGCCUGAGAACCAUAUGUCUUGCAUUCAGAGAUUUCCCAGCAGGAGAACCAGAACCAGAGUGGGAUAAUGAAAAUGAUAUUGUCACCGGCCUUACAUGCAUUGCUGUUGUGGGGAUUGAAGAUCCUGUGAGACCUGAGGUGCCAGACGCAAUAAAGAAAUGUCAGAGGGCCGGAAUUACUGUGCGGAUGGUAACUGGCGAUAAUAUUAACACCGCUCGGGCUAUUGCCACCAAGUGUGGUAUUUUACAUCCUGGGGAAGAUUUCCUGUGCCUGGAAGGUAAAGAUUUCAACAGAAGAAUACGAAAUGAAAAAGGAGAGAUUGAGCAAGAGCGGAUAGACAAGAUUUGGCCAAAACUUCGAGUGCUUGCGAGAUCCUCUCCUACUGACAAACAUACACUGGUUAAAGGUAUAAUUGACAGCACUGUCUCAGAUCAACGCCAGGUUGUAGCUGUAACUGGUGAUGGUACAAAUGACGGCCCAGCAUUAAAGAAAGCAGAUGUUGGAUUUGCAAUGGGUAUCGCUGGAACUGACGUAGCUAAAGAAGCAUCAGAUAUCAUCCUCACAGAUGACAACUUUACGAGCAUUGUUAAAGCAGUUAUGUGGGGACGAAAUGUCUACGACAGCAUCUCCAAAUUUCUUCAGUUCCAGCUCACUGUCAAUGUAGUAGCAGUGAUUGUUGCUUUCACGGGCGCCUGUAUUACUCAAGAUUCCCCGCUGAAGGCGGUGCAGAUGCUGUGGGUGAACCUCAUCAUGGACACACUCGCUUCCCUGGCUCUGGCCACCGAGCCCCCCACUGAGUCCCUCUUGCUUCGGAAACCUUACGGUAGAAAUAAGCCUCUCAUCUCACGCACGAUGAUGAAGAAUAUUUUGGGUCAUGCAUUCUAUCAGCUGGUGGUAGUCUUUACACUCUUGUUUGCUGGAGAAAAGUUUUUUGAUAUUGAUAGUGGAAGAAAUGCUCCUUUGCACGCUCCUCCGUCAGAACAUUACACUAUUGUUUUUAACACCUUUGUACUGAUGCAACUUUUCAACGAAAUAAAUGCACGGAAAAUUCACGGUGAAAGAAAUGUAUUUGAAGGAAUCUUUAAUAAUGCCAUCUUCUGCACAAUUGUUUUAGGCACUUUUGUGGUACAGGUGGGUAAUUGUAAAAGAUAGUUUCAAAUUUGGUUAUUAUGCGGCGUUCUUAAGUAAACUAUAGGUGGCUUGUUCCAGAAAUUAGCUGACUACAAUGUGUGGGACUUCCGUGUAUUGCCUUGAUGACAUCAAAAAGAGUUUCAGAUACCAUGACUCACGUGAAAAUUUGCCCUGUCCUAAAAUUCUACGUGUGAAUGAGCAUACUAAGCUAAUGCCACUGUAACUGCACUACCAGUUCUAUGUGGUAUUUCAUAGUCACUCUGAUUCUGAGUAUUCAUUCUGUAUUGUUAUUAUGAAAACCGUUAUAAUGUUUUUACGUUAUUUUAGGCCAGUCUUACAGUUAACCACUUUUUAAUCUAGCCAGAGUGACCAUUUAAUUGCUCCUAACAGUUAAUAACAUUGUAGUUCUACAGUUGAGUUCAUUAUUAAAUAAUAAAUGGUUUGGGAAUGAAUAUUUUAAAAUCCAUGUGAUUCUGAAUGACUGCAUCCUGAGUUGGAAUGUGCCACUUUUCCAUUUUGUAAUAUUGUCAAAACAAGACAGAAAAGGAAGUGGAGAAUUGAGUGUGAGGAAUGAAGAUGAAACAGGAAGGAUUUAAUUUUCCCAUUUUUAUAAAAGUCAUUCUAAGGACAAAACUAAACAUCACUUUACAUAUGGUCAUUUUUACAUAACUAUAUAUUAUACCUAUGUUUUUAUAUCCUCUUGGAUUCUGUGGUACUCUUCUAUGCAAAUGAUUGUUAAUAGCAGAAUCUGGAAUCACAACGAGUAAGUAAAUGAUGCAUGAUCCACACCAGUAAAUCAAUAAACACAGUAAGAUUUCAAAUUUAAGAGUGAGCUUUUCAACCAUAGACUCAGACAGUGAUAGGGCUUAUUUCAGAAUGAAGAGCUAAGAAUUUUGAUGAGUUUAUUCAGUCUAUACCUUGUGCACUGUGGAUAGCAAAACCCAAAACCCCAGACUUAAUUAUUUCUGUGCAGACUGUUUCUGUUUUUGCUUUCAGUUUCUGUAAACUGUGGGGGAAAUUUUGCUUACUUGUUAUGUAGUUUCUGGAAGUAUUUUAUGUUGAUUUUGUAAAAAUCACUGUUGAUGGUAUGCUAAAAUUUUAGCUUUUACUUACUGUUAGAAUUAGGUUUAUUUUAUCUGUUUUUAAAUAUAUAGGUCUGCAAAAAUGUAAUUGCCUAUCUCUAUCAAGCAAAUCUGAUAAAACUUAGUUCCUAACAUAGGUUGAUAUCCCCAAAACAGUUGAUGUGAGGUGUCAUUUUUCAAUGCUUCAUACGUAUUCCCACGCUACUCAGAGUGUGGUCUGUGAAUCAGCCACUGAUCUGUUUAUUGCAAGUCCACAGUGAGAUAAGGAGCAUGGGCCAGAAUGUAAGUCAACAACUUCACUAAAUAAAUUUAUUCUUGAUUAUUUCUCCAGAUAAUAAUUGUGCAGUUUGGUGGAAAACCUUUCAGUUGUUCAGAACUUUCAAUAGAACAGUGGCUAUGGUCAAUAUUCCUAGGAAUGGGAACGUUACUCUGGGGCCAGGUAAAAAAAAAUAAACAAAACCUCAUCAUUUUUUGUUUAAACCUAAAGUGAUUUUUUUUUUUUUAAUUUUUAGUGUGUGUACAUUUAAUCAGUUCUAUAACAUGAUUCUAGGUAGUUUUCAUUCCGGGUCGAGAAAGGGCAUUCAGAGUUGUUUUUUAAUAUAAAAUUUGUUCUCAUUUGUCACUUGCUGUUUAUUAUAAUUAUGCUUAUACAAUGUAAUUUCUUACCUGGUUUUUUAACUUGUUAUUUAGAACAAGAUUUACAGCUGUUAUUAAGUUGAUGCACUUACAACUGUAUCUUUUGCUCUAUUACCUACUUUCGCAGUUUCAAAAUUAAUGUUUUAAUAAAAAUAUUGUAUAUGUUACUUUUUAUCAUUUUCUUAGAUAAUUUAAUAAAAAUGUAGCAUAGGAAAAAUCCUGAGUUUCACUUGAUGCGAAAAAUGUUUCCAUAAAUAUCUGGAAACAUUGGCCACAGAAUGACAUUUUAGAUUAUUUGGAUCAGAUGGUUUUAACAGUAUAUAUAUUAAAUACAGUGCCUGAAAAAUGAGAUAGCCUUCAUCUUCACUAUAGGUAGCUAACUUGCAGAUGCAUUUCGUUUUUAAAAAGAUAAGUGGUAAUGGUUUGUGUGUUGUUCAUUUUAAGUCCAUUGCCAUCACUGUAAAUCUGAUAAUCUGUACUAACUUAAGUUACCGUAGGCUGUUGGUGUGUAACUAGUGUGAACUAAUUUACUGUCAUUUUGUAAGUCAGUGUAACAGAACAUCCAGAUUUUACUUAACCUUAACUCAGUCUUUUUGCGCCUUUUAUCUCAUUCACCUUUUCCUAAUUGUGUUUCUAGGUUCUGAGGUUUCUCGUCUUACUUGUAAAAACCUCUUUAAUUGACUUCUUUUAAGUUGGAUCCAUACCGGAUCCCCCCCCCUUUUUUUUUUUUUUUUUUUUUUUUUGAUGACUGUUCUAGUUACUUUCUAAUGUUCCCUCACAGGCAAAACCAAACCCCACAACCUCCCUCAAAAUCUAGCUAAAUUCAGGAAGAGGAAAUUCAGUAUAGCGUGCAUGCCCAGCAGGCAUCAGUUCCUGUCCUCGGUUGACGCUGCCUGUUGACUUUAGGUGGACGGAGGUAGAAAGCACUGAUGCUGUUAGUCAGGAGACUUAGGGUCUUAGUCACUCCAUGAACGAGUCAUUUCCUGUGUCUGUGAUCCUGUUUCAUCUCUAAAAUGAGGUGAUUGGACUAGAAGUUCUUUGAGCAUUUCUGAUUCUGCCUGCAUGCCUGAUUCCCAACUUGCUUGAUGAAUGGCCACGUUCCUUAAGGAAUGGCUGUUAACACUUAGAAGUUAAUACAUAUUGCUGUUUUUGUAUCUUGUAUGUCUUCUGGGGAAUCUUGUUUGGUGUUAUUUUCAGUCAGUGUUAAUCCAGUAUUACAUAGUUGCAUUUUAUGAAAAUAUACAUGUAAUAAGCCAAAGUUUUUUCAGUUCAACCUUGAAGAUUUUUUACAUUUGGGUGUUUUUUCUCAUUGAAUCCUUAAAGCACUAAUGAAAUGUCAAGUUAUGUUGCAUCCUCUACAACCACCUGCUAUUUUUUUAAUUUUAUUUAAAAUAAAUUAAUUCACAUGAAUUUAAGUAAAUAUAAUCUAAUUCACAUGAAUUUAAGUAAAUAUGUACGUAUUAAAGCAUGGCUGUAUAAUGUACUGUCUUGACUGUCCUAAAUAAAAUGUCAAAACGUAAUCAGGUUAUUUCCAUUCAGGAACAAUUUUCACCCUCCAAACAAAUUGUUUAUGUAGCUAAGAGGAGUAAUAUUUUUUGUUUUGAGAAAGACAGCCUCUGAUGGACAGGAUCUCAUUGCUUCAUUGGUAAAGAUAGUUGGCUAUGCUUGCCCCUUUUCAUACCUUUUCUGUGUUAAAGGCGAUCGGUUUAAUUGUAUUAUGAUACGAUUUGUUUCUAAGUUCUUUCCCCUGUGUUGUAGCUUAUUUCAACAAUUCCAACUAGCCGUUUAAAAUUUCUAAAAGAAGCUGGUCAUGGAACACAGAAGGAAGAGAUUCCUGAGGAGGAGUUAGCAGAGGAUGUGGAAGAGAUUGAUCACGCUGAACGGGAGUUGCGGCGUGGCCAGAUCUUGUGGUUUAGAGGUCUGAACAGAAUCCAGACGCAGAUGGAUGUAGUGAAUGCUUUCCAGAGUGGAAGUUCCAUUCAGGGGGCUCUAAGGCGGCAACCCUCCAUCGCCAGCCAGCAUCAUGAUGUAACAAAUAUUUCUACCCCUACACAUGUAGUGUUUUCCUCUUCUACUGCUUCUACUACUGUGGGGUAUUCGAGUGGUGAAUGCAUUUCGUAGUUCUUUAUAUGAAGGGUUAGAAAAGCCAGAAUCAAGAAGUUCAAUUCACAACUUUAUGACGCAUCCUGAGUUUAGGAUAGAAGAUUCCGAGCCUCACAUCCCCCUUAUCGAUGACACUGAUGCUGAAGACGAUGCUCCUACAAAACGUAACUGCAGUCCUCCGCCCUCUCCCAACAAAAACAACAAUGCCGUUGACAGCGGGAUCUACCUUACAAUAGAAAUGAACAAGUCUGCUACCUCUUCAUCCCCAGGAAGCCCACUACAUAGUUUGGAAACAUCGCUCUGAUUGUAAGCUGAAGGUUAACACACUAGCUGCAUUGUAAAGAAACAAAUUGAAACUGGGUCUUUUCACAUAUUGUGACGGACAAGAUAGUAUUCUUGUCUUUGGACUUCAACAGAAGACACACUUGUACGAAUGUAGAUUUAUUUUUUUAAAAAAAAAAAAAGCAAAGCUUUCUGCCAGACUGAGGGUGCUUUUUGGGGGGUGGGAGAAAUGAACUGACAGAUAAACUGUAACUCACCAUAAGUUGACCUGUGGAUCAUCAGUAGAACCUAAGAAUGGUCCUGAACAGUGUAUUAGCAAAGCUUUAGUUUAUCUCAAUCCGUGAUGGGAGAGAGGGAGGAGUCAAGCUGGGCAAGCAGGCAAAGAGCCCUGGAUCAUUGAAUUGAUGCUUUAAUUUCUGCUGUUGGCUGUUAAUAAUUUGGAUUAUUUAUGUUUAUAAAUGAUACAGAUCUGUUUACAAGGUUUGUAGAUACUUUUUUUGUUCCUGUUCAUAGAUGGGAAGCUUCCUUAUAACUGAUGCAGAGAAAAAUUAGUCCUUCAAAUACUGCUGUAUUUUCAGGAAAAAAAAAGGGGGGGUGUUUCUAUUGAAACUGUACUAAAUUUUUGCCUACAAUUUACCUUGUUAAAUAUUGUAGAUAAAUUGCUAAUACUAAUAGCCAAAUAGAUAACACUAAUGCUUUGUUUAAAAAACAACAACAACAACAAACAAAACAAAAAAAAAAAAAAAAACAUGAGCAGUGGUGUUCUGAUGAAGUUACGGCAUCUGUCCUAAUUAGUUUCUUAAAUACAUUUACUACUUAAUGGUUUUGAAACAACUGUUUAAUUUUUAAAAUUUUUGAAAACUUGCUAAUAACCUUUGUUCAGAAUUUAGUAGAUUGUUUAAUGCAGGACAUCAACUACAUAAUGAAAGAAGCUUGAAAUGCUUUUGUUAUUUCAGGCAAAUCAAAUUAAAUCAAACUAUCAAACUACAA